GUCUCCCCAGUCUCGAACUGCUGGCCCAAGCCCAAUUAGCCAAUUCACACAAUAACACUCCCGGUCCCGGCCUACAGGAACUGACCAACACCACCGAGACCUAAACCUAAUCCCCUCCCAGCAGCUAGCAUCCCCACUCGGCCACUCUCUUGCUCGCAGCCGCCGCCCACCGUAAGUCACACCGAGUGACCGCGCCACCGCGGUCAGUCGUCGUCGACCCACCGUCCAGGCGUCCACGCCUACGCCGGAGGCCCACCGUCCACGCCAGCGCCGGAGGUCGUCCAACAGCACAUCAGAGUCGGAGGUCGCCCACUCGCUUGUUGCCGGUUGGCCGCUGACCUCGUCGACGGCCGAUCUGCUGCCCAGCCACGCGCUGGAGGUCGCCCGCGCCAUAGGUCUCUCACCAGCCUGCGCCAAGCACUGAUGUGCAUGCAAGUGUGGUCACGUGCUGACAUGCUAGGUGAUAAAUCUUGCUUUAUUAAUGCAUUGAUGACUUGUUUGGAAGAUGAGGAGGAUGAAAUGGAUGAUCCUAAUAGUAUGAUAACUGACUGAAAAUUGGAAAGCAAGCAACAAGUCAACAAUCUACAUUCAGGUCACCUAGAGCUGGAGUGUAUUGUGGACUGUUGUUGCUGCUAUGCUUGAAGUAUGGGUGUAUCUGUGUAUGAUGCCUGAAGCAGAAACUCUCUGUGUUUGUGGGGUGUGGACAGUGGAGAGUGGACUGCUGCAGUGCUGCUGCUAUUGUGCUUGUUGUGUCUUAUUUCAUCCAAGCGACCAAGCCAAUUAGCCAAGCACUCAACUGCUAUGUUUGUGGACAACUACCUGUAACCUGUGUGACUGUCUUUGUGAAAUGUGAACUCUUUUAUGUAUUAUCUGUCUUCAGUCUGUGUUUAAUUGUUUUA